UACGUAGGGUGCGAGCGUUGUCCGGAAUUAUUGGGCGUAAAGAGCUCGUAGGCGGUUUGUCGCGUCGGCUGUGAAAACUCGGGGCUCAACCCCGAGCCUGCAGUCGAUACGGGCAAACUUGAGUGUGGUAGGGGAGACUGGAAUUCCUGGUGUAGCGGUGAAAUGCGCAGAUAUCAGGAGGAACACCGGCGGCGAAGGCGGGUCUCUGGGCCAUAACUGACGCUGAGGAGCGAAAGCGUGGGGAGCGAACAGG
rnacentral:rRNA from 1 species